CAUUCUUGGGUCGAGCUUCAAACU
rnacentral:miRNA from 1 species